rnacentral:rRNA from 1 species
GACGUAGGAUGCAAGCGUUGUCCGGAAUUAUUGGGCGUAAAGAGUUCGUAGGCGGUUGCCUAAGUCUGAUGUUAAAGGCCUGAGCUCAACUCGGGUAUGGCAUUGGAAACUGGGUGGCUAGAGUGUGGUAGAGGUAUCGGGAAUUCCUGGUGUAGCGGUGAAAUGCGUAGAUAUCAGGAGGAACACCGGCGGCGAAAGCGCGAUACUGGGCCAUAACUGACGCUAAGGAACGAAAGCCAGGGGAGCAAAAGGG